GCCCGGGUGCUGAAACUGGUAGACAGGCAUGGUUGAGGGCCAUGUGUCCUACGGACGUGCGGGUUCGACUCCCGCUCCGGGCA
rnacentral:tRNA from 1 species